rnacentral:rRNA from 1 species
GAUGAACGCUGGCGGCGUGCUUAACACAUGCAAGUCGAACGGAAAGGCUCCUGCUUGCAGGGGUACUCGAGUGGCGAACGGGUGAGUAACACGUGGGUGAUCUGCCCUGCACUUCGGGAUAAGCCUGGGAAACUGGGUCUAAUACCGGAUAGGACGAUGGUUUGGAUGCCAUUGUGGAAAGUUUUUUCGGUGUGGGAUGAGCUCGCGGCCUAUCAGCUUGUUGGUGGGGUAAUGGCCUACCAAGGCGUCGACGGGUAGCCGGCCUGAGAGGGUGUACGGCCACCUUGGGACUGAGAUACGGCCCAGACUCCUACGGGAGGCAGCAGUGGGGAAUAUUGCACAAUGGGCGCAAGCCUGAUGCAGCGACGCCGCGUUGGGGAUGACGGCCUUCGGGUUGUAAACUCCUUUCGCUAGGGACGAAGCGCAAGUGACGGUACCUGGAGAAGAAGCACCGGCUAACUACGUG